rnacentral:rRNA from 1 species
UGGGGAAUAUUGCACAAUGGGCGCAAGCCUGAUGCAGCCAUGCCGCGUGUGUGAAGAAGGCCCUCGGGUUGUAAAGCACUUUCAGCGGGGAGGAAGGCGAUAAGGUUAAUAACCUUGUCGAUUGACGUUACCCGCAGAAGAAGCACCGGCUAACUCCGUGCCAGCAGCCGCGGUAAUACGGAGGGUGCAAGCGUUAAUCGGAAUUACUGGGCGUAAAGCGCACGCAGGCGGUCUGUCAAGUCGGAUGUGAAAUCCCCGGGCUUAACCUGGGAACUGCAUUCGAAACUGGCAGGCUAGAGUCUUGUAGAGGGGGGUAGAAUUCCAGGUGUAGCGGUGAAAUGCGUAGAGAUCUGGAGGAAUACCGGUGGCGAAGGCGGCCCCCUGGACGAAGACUGACGCUCAGGUGCGAAAGCGUGGGGAGCAAACAGG